rnacentral:rRNA from 1 species
UUAAUUUGAGAGUUUGAUCCUGGCUCAGGACGAACGCUGGCGGCGUGCCUAAUACAUGCAAGUCGAACGAACUCUGGUAUUGAUUGGUGCUUGCAUCAUGAUUUACAUUUGAGUGAGUGGCGAACUGGUGAGUAACACGUGGGAAACCUGCCCAGAAGCGGGGGAUAACACCUGGAAACAGAUGCUAAUACCGCAUAACAACUUGGACCGCAUGGUCCGAGUUUGAAAGAUGGCUUCGGCUAUCACUUUUGGAUGGUCCCGCGGCGUAUUAGCUAGAUGGUGGGGUAACGGCUCACCAUGGCAAUGAUACGUAGCCGACCUGAGAGGGUAAUCGGCCACAUUGGGACUGAGACACGGCCCAAACUCCUACGGGAGGCAGCAGUAGGGAAUCUUCCACAAUGGACGAAAGUCUGAUGGAGCAACGCCGCGUGAGUGAAGAAGGGUUUCGGCUCGUAAAACUCUGUUGUUAAAGAAGAACAUAUCUGAGAGUAACUGUUCAGGUAUUGACGGUAUUUAACCAGAAAGCCACGGCUAACUACGUGCCAGCAGCCGCGGUAAUACGUAGGUGGCAAGCGUUGUCCGGAUUUAUUGGGCGUAAAGCGAGCGCAGGCGGUUUUUUAAGUCUGAUGUGAAAGCCUUCGGCUCAACCGAAGAAGUGCAUCGGAAACUGGGAAACUUGAGUGCAGAAGAGGACAGUGGAACUCCAUGUGUAGCGGUGAAAUGCGUAGAUAUAUGGAAGAACACCAGUGGCGAAGGCGGCUGUCUGGUCUGUAACUGACGCUGAGGCUCGAAAGUAUGGGUAGCAAACAGGAUUAGAUACCCUGGUAGUCCAUACCGUAAACGAUGAAUGCUAAGUGUUGGAGGGUUUCCGCCCUUCAGUGCUGCAGCUAACGCAUUAAGCAUUCCGCCUGGGGAGUACGGCCGCAAGGCUGAAACUCAAAGGAAUUGACGGGGGCCCGCACAAGCGGUGGAGCAUGUGGUUUAAUUCGAAGCUACGCGAAGAACCUUACCAGGUCUUGACAUACUAUGCAAAUCUAAGAGAUUAGACGUUCCCUUCGGGGACAUGGAUACAGGUGGUGCAUGGUUGUCGUCAGCUCGUGUCGUGAGAUGUUGGGUUAAGUCCCGCAACGAGCGCAACCCUUAUUAUCAGUUGCCAGCAUUAAGUUGGGCACUCUGGUGAGACUGCCGGUGACAAACCGGAGGAAGGUGGGGAUGACGUCAAAUCAUCAUGCCCCUUAUGACCUGGGCUACACACGUGCUACAAUGGAUGGUACAACGAGUUGCGAACUCGCGAGAGUAAGCUAAUCUCUUAAAGCCAUUCUCAGUUCGGAUUGUAGGCUGCAACUCGCCUACAUGAAGUCGGAAUCGCUAGUAAUCGCGGAUCAGCAUGCCGCGGUGAAUACGUUCCCGGGCCUUGUACACACCGCCCGUCACACCAUGAGAGUUUGUAACACCCAAAGUCGGUGGGGUAACCUUUUAGGAACCAGCCGCCUAAGGUGGGACAGAUGAUUAGGGUGAAGUCGUAACAAGGU